rnacentral:lncRNA from 1 species
AUUCGUACUCUUUUGAAGCUCUUAAAAUACUGAAAGGUGAUAUCUCUGUCAUAUGUUCUAAACAGCGAUUCAAAUUUGGCCCGGCACUGGCCGUCCUGGAAGACGCGCGGGUCCAGGUUGCAGGCGAUGGUGGCGGUGGGCAGAUCUUGCAGCACCACCGCCUCCAUCUCGCCGCCGGCGAAGCUCCAGUCCGGUUCGGCCUCGGGCGGCGGCAGCGCCUCCGUCUCCUCUUCCUCCUCCCUCGCUUCCCCGAGAGGCGGCUCCUCCCGGCCUGCCGGGCCCCUCCCGCCGCCGCCGUCGCCGCCGCUCUCCAUGGCCGGGGGCGAGCGGAGCCCCCGCGGGGCGGAGCCCGG